UUGAACGCUGGCGGCAGGCUUAACACAUGCAAGUCGAGCGGGGARAKGUAGCUUGCUACMUUWCCUAGCGGCGGACGGGUGAGUAAUGCUUAGGAAUCUGCCUAUUAGUGGGGGACAACAUUCCGAAAGGAAUGCUAAUACCGCAUACGCCCUACGGGGGAAAGCAGGGGAUCUUCGGACCUUGCGCUAAUAGAUGAGCCUAAGUCAGAUUAGCUAGUUGGUGGGGUAAAGGCCUACCAAGGCGACGAUCUGUAGCGGGUCUGAGAGGAUGAUCCGCCACACUGGGACUGAGACACGGCCCAGACUCCUACGGGAGGCAGCAGUGGGGAAUAUUGGACAAUGGGSGCAAGCCUGAUCCAGCCAUGCCGCGUGUGUGAAGAAGGCCUUUUGGUUGUAAAGCACUUUAAGCGAGGAGGAGGCUACUURGAUUAAUACUCUAGGAUAGUGGACGUUACUCGC
rnacentral:rRNA from 1 species